UCCCACUUGCUAUGACAGCUUUCUUAAUUUGCUUUCUAAGCCUUUACUCAUUUUCUCAUUUAUUGCAACAGUUUCUGGUUUGGGAAGUAAACAAGGUUACAUACAAAAUUGUAAUUAAAUUUUUCUUCAAGUUCAAUCACCAAAGAAUUGGGCUUAGAGGCAAAGCAAAUGUUUCAUGGUAUAGCAAAUGGGAAUCUUCUUAAUUUAUUCAGAAGAAUAAAAUAAACCUGGCCUGGAAAAUCUGAAAUGGGAGAAGAAGUUGUAGCCUUGCUAAACCUGUCUCACAGAAGAUAGCAAAGCCUUCAUACUCACUUGACUCUGGGAAGGAUUGUGUCACAGAGUAAAAGAAGAAAUUGCUUAUAGACUACAAAGGCUAACAUGGAGAUAGAAGAACCACAUGGAGCUUGGAAAAUGGGAAUCUCAGUAAUAACAUAAUGGCUGUGAGUCUGCAGGGGUGUCCUCCAGUGCUUUUGUUCUUGUUAAAUCCCCAAGGACCUUUGAAGGAUAGUGGGGAGGGGAAUCCUCCAAAUACCUAAGAUUAAAUUUCCUACUGGCUUGGUAGGAUGGAACUUGUAAAUGAAAUUAAAUUUAUUUAUAUUAUUAUUGUUGUUAUAAUUAUUAUUAUAAUUUAUUUUUGACAUUAGGCACCAAACAAGACCAAUCAUAAUUUUUGGCUCAUAACAUACUUGCCAUCAUUGCUUACUCCUGGCCUUCAUUUAUUUUAUUUCUUUAAUUUUAUAUAUUCAUUGACAAUAUGAUGAAGUUAUAUGAAUUCACUGCCUGAAUCAAGAACUAGAAA
rnacentral:lncRNA from 1 species